CCAGUUCUAUGAACUUGAUUCUCAAUAUUAUGCCACCAUAGACGUGCUGCUCCUUUCAACUUUGCCUUCACAAAAUGAACUUUUCUAUUUUCGGGCAUUGCAUACCAAUCAAAGUAAUCUUCCAUUGACAUAAUCCAAUCAAGAAAAGUUGUUGGAUUUAGUUUUCCAUAAAAUUCAGCAACUUCAAGACGUACCUUUUUUGUCAC
rnacentral:lncRNA from 1 species